AAGUCGUAACAAGGUUUCCGUAGGUGAACCUGCGGAAGGAUCAUUACCAAAUCCAAAUACCCAACCCCAUGUGAAUUAUUGUAUAGUCUGUCUUUGGGAGAAAAAGAAGGAGAAAUCUGGACUUUUCUCCCAAUAGAGUCCGGCAUAACUUUUUGUUAUGUCCAGAUUCGAAACCCUUUAAACCACUUGAUUUUUCUGUUGGAAUUACUUUUAUUAAUUUUAAAUAAAAGACAACUUUUAACGGUGGAUCUCUUGGCUCGUG
rnacentral:misc_RNA from 1 species